rnacentral:rRNA from 1 species
UACAGAGGUGGCAAGCGUUGUUCGGAUUUAUUGGGCGUAAAGGGUCCGUAGGCGGUCCGUAAAGUCAGAUGUGAAAGCCCACAGCUCAACUGUGGAACUGCAUUUGAAACUCACGGACUAGAGUAUGAGAGGGGUUAAGGGAAUUCCCGGUGUAAGGGUGAAAUCUGCAGAGAUCGGGAGGAACACCAGUCGCGAAGGCGCUUAACUGGCUCAUUACUGACGCUCAGGGACGAAAGCUAGGGGAGACAAACCGGGAGUUAGA